AUUGAACGCUGGCGGCAGGCCUAACACAUGCAAGUCGAGCGAGUGGCGGACGGGUGAGUAAUGCAUGGGGACCUGCCUGAUAGAGGGGGAUAACUACUGGAAACGGUGGCUAAUACCGCAUACCAUCGGAUGAACCCAAAUGGGAUUAGCUAGUAGGUGGGGUAACGGCUCACCAAGGAGACGAUCCCUAGCUGGUCUGAGAGGAUGACCAGCCACACGGGAACUUGGACACGGACCAAACUCCUACGGGAGGCAGCAGUGGGGAAUAUGGCGCAAUGGGGGCAAGCCUGACGAAGCCAUGCCGCGUGGAUGAAGAAGGCCUUCGGGUUGUAAAGUUAUUUCGGGUGCGAGGCGGUACCUACAGAAGAAGCACCGGCUAACUCCGUGCCAGCAGCCGCGGUAAUAC
rnacentral:rRNA from 1 species